GAUCAGCUCAAUCUCCUGCCUACAUACUUCAUCUGGUAUGAAGAUCAGGGCGAUGUAGUUCCCCUACAGAGGGAUAAAGGACUAGCCUAACCAGAUAACAGAGGGAGACACAACUAGGGAGACUACGACUCGAGCCUAGAUGUUAUCAUGCAAAUCAUCCCUAAGUUAUGGUUUCUAGCUAAAUGGCACAAGGGCCAACCUAUCCU
rnacentral:lncRNA from 1 species